UCUGCCAAGACGUCUCGGCCAGUCACAUCCCCUUAUCACUUUUCCAGCCCAGCUUUGUGACUCUGACUGUUGGACGGAGAACUGAUAAGGGUAGGUGGCUGUCACUCACAGCCUCUGGAGCC
rnacentral:pre_miRNA from 14 species